AUUGAACGCUGGCGGCAGGCCUAACACAUGCAAGUCGAACGGCAGCACAGAAGAGCUUGCUCUUUGGGUGGCGAGUGGCGGACGGGUGAGUAAUGUCUGGGAAACUGCCCGAUGGAGGGGGAUAACUACUGGAAACGGUAGCUAAUACCGCAUAACGUCGCAGGACCAAAGUGGGGGACCUUCGGGCCUCACACCAUCGGAUGUGCCCAGAUGGGAUUAGCUAGUAGGUGGGGUAAUGGCUCACCUAGGCGACGAUCCCUAGCUGGUCUGAGAGGAUGACCAGCCACACUGGAACUGAGACACGGUCCAGACUCCUACGGGAGGCAGCAGUGGGGAAUAUUGCAUAAUGGGCGCAAACCUGAUGCAGCCAUGCCGCGUGUAUGAAGAAGGCCUUCGGGUUGUAAAGUACUUUCAGCGGGGAGGAAGGCGGUGAGGUUAAUGACCUCACCGAUUGACGUUACCCGCAGAAGAAGCACCGGCUAACUCCGUGCCAGCAGCCGCGGUAAUACGGAGGGUGCAAGCGUUAAUCGGAAUUACUGGGCGUAAAGCGCACGCAGGCGGUCUGUUAAGUCAGAUGUGAAAUCCCCGGGCUUAACCUGGGAACUGCAUUUGAAACUGGCAGGCUUGAGUCUCGUAGAGGGGGGUAGAAUUCCAGGUGUAGCGGUGAAAUGCGUAGAGAUCUGGAGGAAUACCGGUGGCGAAGGCGGCCCCCUGGACGAAGACUGACGCUCAGGUGCGAAAGCGUGGGGAGCAAACAGGAUUAGAUACCCUGGUAGUCCACGCCGUAAACGAUGUCGACUUGGAGGUUGUGCCCUUGAGGCGUGGCUUCCGGAGCUAACGCGUUAAGUCGACCGCCUGGGGAGUACGGCCGCAAGGUUAAAACUCAAAUGAAUUGACGGGGGCCCGCACAAGCGGUGGAGCAUGUGGUUUAAUUCGAUGCAACGCGAAGAACCUUACCUGGCCUUGACAUCCAGAGAACUUAGCAGAGAUGCUUUGGUGCCUUCGGGAACUCUGAGACAGGUGCUGCAUGGCUGUCGUCAGCUCGUGUUGUGAAAUGUUGGGUUAAGUCCCGCAACGAGCGCAACCCUUAUCCUUUGUUGCCAGCGAUUCGGUCGGGAACUCAAAGGGGACUGCCGGUGAUAAGCUGGAGGAAGGUGGGGAUGACGUCAAGUCCUCAUGGCCCUUACGGGCUGGGCUACACACGUGCUACAAUGGUGGUGACAGUGGGCAGCGAGACCGCGAGGUUGAGCUAAUCUCCAAAAACCAUCUCAGUUCGGAUUGCACUCUGCAACUCGGGUGCAUGAAGUUGGAAUCGCUAGUAAUCGUGGAUCAGCAUGCCACGGUGAGUACGUUCCCGGGCCUUGUACACACCGCCCGUCACACCAUGGGAGUUGGCUUUACCCGAAGGUGCCGUGUUAACCGCAAGGAGGCAGGCAACCACGGUAGGGUUAGCGACUGGGGUG
rnacentral:rRNA from 1 species